rnacentral:ncRNA from 1 species
GCCAACAAUUGAAAAAUGCCUCAUAUAUACUUGAGAAUAUGGCUCAAAAGUUUCUACCCGGCACCGUAAAUGACCGGACUAUGAGGGAGGAUGAGCCGUUG